rnacentral:rRNA from 1 species
AGAGUUUGAUCCUGGCUCAGAUUGAACGCUGGCGGCAUGCCUUACACAUGCAAGUCGAACGGUAACAGGUCUUCGGAUGCUGACGAGUGGCGAACGGGUGAGUAAUACAUCGGAACGUGCCCGAGAGUGGGGGAUAACGGAGCGAAAGCUUUGCUAAUACCGCAUACGAUCUACGGAUGAAAGCAGGGGACCGCAAGGCCUUGCGCUCAUGGAGCGGCCGAUGGCAGAUUAGGUAGUUGGUGGGAUAAAAGCUUACCAAGCCGACGAUCUGUAGCUGGUCUGAGAGGACGACCAGCCACACUGGGACUGAGACACGGCCCAGACUCCUACGGGAGGCAGCAGUGGGGAAUUUUGGACAAUGGGCGCAAGCCUGAUCCAGCCAUGCCGCGUGCAGGAUGAAGGCCUUCGGGUUG